GAUGAACGCUGGCGGCGUGCUUAACACAUGCAAGUCGAACGAUGAUCCCAGCUUGCUGGGGAUUAGUGGCGAACGGGUGAGUAACACGUGAGUAACCUGCCCUUGACUCUGGGAUAAGCCUGGGAAACUGGGUCUAAUACCGGAUACGACCAUCUGGCGCAUGUCAUGGUGGUGGAAAGCUUUUGUUGGUUUGGAUGGACUCGCGGCCUAUCAGCUUGUUGGUGGGGAAU
rnacentral:rRNA from 1 species